UACGUAGGGUGCGAGCGUUGUCCGGAAUUAUUGGGCGUAAAGAGCUCGUAGGCGGUUCGUCGCGUCGGCUGUGAAAACCCGGGGCUCAACUCCGGGCCUGCAGUCGAUACGGGCGGACUCGAGUUCGGCAGGGGAGACUGGAAUUCCUGGUGUAGCGGUGAAAUGCGCAGAUAUCAGGAGGAACACCGGUGGCGAAGGCGGGUCUCUGGGCCGAUACUGACGCUGAGGAGCGAAAGCGUGGGGAGCGAACAGG
rnacentral:rRNA from 1 species